CGAGGCUUCUGAUGCGAAGAUCACCCGUGCGUUACGGAAUCACAAGUGGCAAAAGUUUUCUUCAAGCACAAUUUCUUUGUGAAAAGCACAAAACAAAAGCUGGGCGAGUUAACAUACGCAAAUUUAGCGCCUGUGUAUACUUCGUUUUUUUACUCGCUGUUUAGUUUCACCCAUUACUUCGUAUUUAAAGAUUGUCUUCGGUGCAAUAACGGGAGAUGUAGUCUGACUCGAUGUCGCGGGUUGAUUUCGCAUUGGCUGCCAUUUUGCCAAUAACAGUGCAUGUGGUUGCGCGAGUGAGUGGUCGCAUCUUUUCCUGAAUAACUUUAGCCUUUAACGCGUGAACGCAACUCGCCCCACUUUUGUGAAGACACCAAAAAUUUGAUCGAUCAAUUAUCGCUGCUCAUUAACGUAGGACCUCCCCGUGGUUUUGGGUCAGAGCACGGGACCUAACCCCGGACAAAGUUCCACUUCCUAGCGUACGAGUUUGCAGGCUUGUUGCGGAGCAGGCAGGAAGCUGUAUGUCGGGCUGAAGGAAGCAGUUGACGUAUUUGUUGUAAACCGAAAUCUCCGUGACAUCCACAAAGAGCAACGUGCUCAUCGUCACUGGCGAUGAUGGCGAGGACCUCCCCACCACGGACUUGGAACGACAAUCCCUCGAUCGGGAGCAACUUGCCGCCGAACAGCCGCUGACCCAGGCUGCAGAAGUUCAGUGGAACGUCAAGUAUCGAACCGGCGUCAGAGUGGCCACAUCUAUCGUCACGACAACGAGGCAAUCAACACCAUUGCUGGAAAUCCCGACAAACGCCUGGUUACGCACACACAUACACAAAAAUAAAGACUCAAAACAGCGCUGGCCAGAAGGCCAGAAGAAUACGACGAUGGCGGCGUUCAGCGCCGAUGACGUGCAAGACAACUCGCGCUUUCGUACCGCGAGUCUAAUAAGUAUUUGCGGGGUAGAUCUUCGGUAGCCUCAGGAGAGGUUAGGGCGGGUCAUUGAAAUAGAGCUUCGGUAACACAGGCUUACGGAGUUACCCUGUUGGUAAUGGCUAGCCUGUUCUCUUUACUGAAGUCAAGUGGUGCCUUCACUCAAUUGGAAAUUCGUGGAUUCGUUAGAGCCAUGUGGCUGUUGUGAUUAGGUUCGAAUCUAAUUGCAAACGAGUGCUUGCUGAACUUACUCUCAGUACAAAUGUGUCCUCCAAGACGAGAAAUAGAUGAAAUUCUAGGAAUUUUCUUUUAUGUAGAAAUGUGUUUCGCCAUUACAGGGUUAACUACUCCCUAAUGGUAUUCGCGUUAGUGUUGUGUGCUUUGAACAACAAGCUCUGCAAAGUAAGUAUUUGGAGACUUCCGCAACCAGAGGUCUCGUUAACGGACAACGAAGUCUGGUCGGACACGUUACUUAUAAUACCAUUCACAGGGAAUCUUGUGGACUCGCUAGAGGUUGAGUACGCUGAAAAAAAAAAAAUUACGCGAUGGCUUAUGACGCGCGCGCCUGAACUGGUGCCUAUCGAUUGUGUAGCCGGUAGUUAACCGUGCCACUGGCAUUAUGCGCGAGCUAAGCAAUCGUUCAGAAUUAGAGAUGCUUCGAUUGACAGUUUCAGUUCAGCGUUUGCAACCGAACAAUAGCGUUACGUACGUAAAGAAAUAUCGUCGACCCUUCACACGUUCUGAACGUUAGUCUGGUUCUGCGGUUUGCGUGCGCUAUGAUAACGUACGGUAUUUGGCGAGUUUCAGGUUCGGACGUCUGCGUACGCUUAGUAGCGUCGAACAUGCUCCAGCUUAAGCGUAUGUUCUGAUAACCGCUCUCUGAGACUCUUUUGUCGCCAGUACCUAUGAAACUGAGUUUGCGCUUACUCUGAACUCUCCUGAAACGUUAGCGCAUAGCUCCUGCAAUUUCAGAGAUCAGCCUGCGAUUCCGGCGCCCGUAGGCCUAACCAGACUCUUCUCCAUAGCAACGGCGAGGUAUUUGCUAGUGGGUAGUCUUGGCGUGGAUACGUUCGGCACGAGGCACCAGACGGCGGUCUGUUUUGUGGACUCCUUGCGUUUCUGUUCUAGUGCGGUAAACUGACAGUCUUCAAAGGAUGCACAGCGUGACGUCCCACAAAUCCGAUUACGUUUAACGUACGGAUGUCUGCAAACUCUUCUAAAGCCGUGUGAUCGUUUGGUGCUCUACUGUAGUUCUACAGCGUGCAUUUCUCGGGUGCCCUGUCCUUCGGCUAAGCACAAGCGUGCAGCUGUUCAUUCCGAAGGCUUCCUUAAAGAUGUAUGUUCUGCGUCUAAAAUGAAGACAGUCUUUCUCGAGCAGCUACCGCCUUUCCGCUCUUGCAGAGCUGAGAUUGAAGUGUUCUUGUGUGCGCGCGCGCGCACGCUGUUUCACACAACCAGAAAAAUGGUUUGCCUCUUGUAAGAACGUUUACUGGCUUCGAAAUAAACUUGCCUUGAAUUAACGCCGUGCGUGUCCAGUCUGACUAUUUUCCUCACGAAUGUCUCGCAUACG